ACGUGGGCGAGCGAGCGCGCUGCUCCCACCCGGCCGCCCAUUAACGCUUUCCCCCGCGGGCGCCGUGCACUUGCCAACUUUGCCCUCCGCGCGGCUCGCGCGUCGGCCGUCUGCAGACACUGGAGGGGCAGUGCAUAUCGCUUGCUUCAGCAACAGCACACCGGGACAGUCUGUCUCCAGGCCUCAUCUGUCCCUCCAUUUCCUCCAUGGAGCAGAGCUUCCAUCCGGAAAAAGAAGAGAGCCAGCAGCCCCAGGCUUGCCUCCCCUCGUGCUGAGUCCAGAGCUUCUGGUGUCUUCUCUGGGAAGGACACAGUGUUGGUCUCUGGGCCUGCUCUGGAAACACGAAGCCUCAUCUGGGCUACAGACCUGUGGGCAUCCGCCCAGACAUGCCAUGUGUCACUGUAGCCCACAGGCUGACUCCAUGGGCUGACGGAAGGGGUCCUGGGAAGGGGUGCGUACUAGGUAGGGAUGGGGAGGAAAGGGCCAUGGCACCCUCCUCGGGGAGAGGGGUUGGCUUCCAUCCUUGUCUUGCGGUUCAGCUCUCUUCUUUCCGUCUCCUCCCUCAUGCCCUGAGGGAUGCUCUCUGCAGGACCCUGGGGCCAACAGGGACAAGCAUGUCCAUCCUGCCCUGCAGAGCUUACCUGGGACUUAGAUUCUUUUCAUAGCUGAAGAUGAGCCAGGCAGGCUUGUGUUUACAAUCUCGAUCUGGAGAUAAACUCCUUUCGAAUUCACCAAGGCCUCUUUAACAACACAACAAACAAACAUGGGGAAGCAGGAGGCGAAGCCCCACAACCCCUGGGGUUUCCCUAGCUGGCCCCCACCAGCACCCCCAGAAGCAACAGAACCAGCCCAGGAGGGGCAACGUGCAGUGGGCUCCCUGGCCCGUCCCUUCACCCGCCUCCCCCAGAGACCCUCCUCGGUGUCCCAUUGCUUGAACGCCGCCAGGCCAGACCUUGCCUCGGACCCCUGACCAAGUGACCGGAAGCACCAGCAGACAUCCUCCACCCCUCGGCCAUUGACCUCCAGGGCAGGGAGUGGCCCCAGCCCUCUUGUCAGGUUGCCAUGCCCUCCUGGGCUGGAACUCUGAGGACAUGAUGGAAAUACCCCAGGUCUCGGCCCGGGGGCCUGGCGGGGAAAGUCCCCGCUUGGCGUCAGUGAAUGAUCAGUCUGGAAAGCGAGUCUGCAGCUUUGGCCACCCCUGAAGGACAGAAGUCCUCCCGGGGGCUGACCUGCGGAUAGGCCCUGGCACGUGCGCUGCAGGGCAACAAGGCCAACGGCUGCCCCCAACAACCACCAUGCCCCCAGCUCUGGUCAGUCCUUGCUCCCCAUGGAGCAUCUCUCAAUCCCUCUUUUGUUUUCCCUGUUGGCAGAGACUUCGUGCAAUCUGAAACAAAAGUCUCCGUGCCCCCAGGACUUGGCCGUGCAGCCGCAUCCUCCCCCUUGCCUGAACGUUGCUGCAACAUGCAGAGGCAUCUGGUGGUGGAAAACACGGUGAUGGAGCUGACUGGGCUGGCUCUGAUGCUGCCCCGGUGCCUGCCAUGGCCAAGGGGUCCUCAGCCUCAUUCUCCCCCCCUCCUCAGGGACCCAGGAGGGGCUAGAGGCUCUUCUCCAGGCCAAGGAGGAGGCUGCAGCAACUGGUCCUGAGUGAGGACGGCCUCAGAAGGAUUCCUGGACACUGGAGUCCCAAAGACGCUGUUGUCUUUGGAAGGGUCUGGCCUUUGGUACCAGCUCCUUGGGCCGACUUAGCAGCAGUGUUUGGGGGCCCACAUCCUAGGGGUGGGGAGUGGGGAGCAACAUCUUUCAUCUUUGAAAAGUUCCCUGAAGCACUGGGAUCCUGUUCCCGGCUGGAUCUGGGGCCACAGGCUAACUCUCUCCCUUCCUCCCCCCUUCACAGUGUGAUGCAAACGUGGAAUUACUUAAUGCAGAAAGUCCGAGCAGUUUCCUUCUCAGAGCAGAGCGGUGUCCUGGGUAGGCACCUGUGGUCGCUGCGCGGAGUGAGCGCGUGGACUGAAGGGCAGGGAGCCUCACGGCUCUGCUGUUUCAGCUUCCUUUCCAUCCUCCUGGGGUCGGAAGGAGGUUGAGGGAGCACCAGUUGAAAAGUUUGUUCUUUCUCUUCGCUUCAGGAAUAUGAUGUCUCGUCUAUCAUGCCGGAAUGCAUCAGCAGAUUUUAGGGAUGUUUCUAUUAUUAAAAGUGAAAAGCUAUUAAUUUAAA